AGUAAGGUCAGCUAAUAAAGCUCUUGGGCCCAUACCCCAAAUAUGUUGGUUAAACUCCUUCCUUUACUA
rnacentral:tRNA from 1 species